rnacentral:tRNA from 1 species
ACAAAUAUGGUGAAAAUGUUAAACACGUUAAACUUAGAAUUUAAUUAUUUAAGAGUUAAAAUCUCUUUAUUUGUA